UAAACGACUCUCGGCAACGGAUAUCUCGGCUCACGCAUCGAUGAAGAACGUAGCAAAAUGCGAUACUUGGUGUGAAUUGCA
rnacentral:rRNA from 1 species